rnacentral:rRNA from 1 species
UACGUAGGGGGCAAGCGUUGUCCGGAUUUAUUGGGCGUAAAGAGCGUGUAGGCGGCUAGGUAGGUCCGUUGUGAAAACUCGAGGCUCAACCUCGAGACGCCGGUGGAAACCAUCUAGCUAGAGUCCGGAAGAGGAGAGUGGAAUUCCUGGUGUAGCGGUGAAAUGCGCAGAUAUCAGGAAGAACACCCGUGGCGAAGGCGGCAUCCUGGACCGGUAUUGACGCUGAGGCGCGAAAGCCAGGGGAGCAAACGGG